GCGCAGCAGUCGCGAACCUUGCAAUGCGCGAAGCGUGACAAGGUGACUCCGAGUGCUCAUGCGUAAGCAUGAGCUUUCCGAGUGUAAACAGCUCGGGGAAUAAGGGCCGGGCAAUACCCGUGCCAGCCGCCGCGGUAAUACGGGAGGCCCGAGUGGUGCCCGCGAUUACUGGGCUUAAAGCGUCCGUAGCCGGUCCGGUAAGUCCUUGGUGAAAGCCCAGGCUUAACCUGGGGAGGUGCCAAGGAUACUGCCGGUCUAGGGAGCGGGAGAGGCGAGGGGUACUCCGGGGUAGCGGUGAAAUGCGUUGAUCCUCGGGGACCACCGGUAGCGAAGGCGCCUCGCUGGAACGCGUCCGACGGUGAGGGACGAAGGCCAGGGGAGCGACCCGGAUUAGAUA
rnacentral:rRNA from 1 species